rnacentral:rRNA from 1 species
GUAUUUAUUAGAUAAAAAACCAAUGCCCUUCGGGGCUCCUUGGUGAAUCAUAAUAACUUAACGAAUCGCAUGGCCUUGCGCCGGCGAUGGUUCAUUCAAAUUUCUGCCCUAUCAACUUUCGAUGGUAGGAUAGUGGCCUACCAUGGUGGCAACGGGUAACGGGGAAUUAGGGUUCGAUUCCGGAGAGGGAGCCUGAGAAACGGCUACCACAUCCAAGGAAGGCAGCAGGCGCGCAAAUUACCCAAUCCCGACACGGGGAGGUAGUGACAAUAAAUACUGAUACGGGGCUCUUUUGGGUCUCGUAAUUGGAAUGAGUACAAUCUAAAUCCCUUAACGAGGAACAAUUGGAGGGCAAGUCUGGUGCCAGCAGCCGCGGUAAUUCCAGCUCCAAUAGCGUAUAUUAAAGUUGUUGCAGUUAAAAAGCUCGUAGUUGAACCUUGGGUCUGGCUGGCCGGUCCGCCUCACCGCGAGUACUGGUCCGGCUGGACCUUUCCUUCUGGGGAAUCUCAUGGCCUUCACUGGCUGUGGGGGGAACCAGGACUUUUACUGUGAAAAAAUUAGAGUGUUCAAAGCAGGCCUUUGCUCGAAUACAUUAGCAUGGAAUAAUAGAAUAGGACGUGCGGUUCUAUUUUGUUGGUUUCUAGGACCGCCGUAAUGAUUAAUAGGGAUAGUCGGGGGCGUCAGUAUUCAGCUGUCAGAGGUGAAAUUCUUGGAUUUGCUGAAGACUAACUACUGCGAAAGCAUUC